ACUGCUGCCUUCAGCCAUAUUGUCUGAAUCAGGUACAAAGUAUUUACAGGUUCAACAUUUUUUUUUUUAAUUUAUCUUAUUUAUUUAUUUUGGUCUUUUUUUUGUUUUAUGAAGGGGGGAAGGAAAGGGGAGUAGAGACAGCACGAAGCAGGGGCCGCUGGAAACCGUAAUUGGCUGGGACGCUCAUUGGAAGUGCGUCGUGAGACGCAAAGCGAGCCGUUUGAAUGAGGCACAGUGAUUUCACUUAUCAAUGUACAUCGCAACGAGGUGACAAGAAGCGCAUUACAGAGUAGAAUGAAAACUGCAUUUCAGAUUCUCAAUUCAGAUCUGCAGUCCACGUGUCGAGCUGUCAAUUCCCCCGGCCGGCGCUAACGAGGGAACUACCGCCAGGUGCCGCGGGGCCGCGGCCGCCCGGGCUCAGCUGCGCCUCGUUGGCGGCCGGGGGCGGGUUCCGGCCCGAGCGGCUCUUAAGCUCCUCCCGAGGCCGCAGGGAGCCAUCAGACGGCUCCGGGAUCUCAUAGAGUGCGGACGUCGGCGUGGGCUCCGCUCCUUCGUCAGGUUGCGGUGGGACGUUUCCCGGUGAAGAUGAGCCCGAUCCGGUGAGCCGUUCAGGCCGAGCAUCUCGUCAGCCCGAAGCGGCGAGCGUUCAGAAGCCGCUCGGAGCGCGAUCUCUUUCCCAUCAGGGAGACGCGGCGGCACGGCUCGCACGACCGGACCGCCGUUGAGGACCGCCGUGUUCUUUUCCGGAACUCCUUGAGCUCUGCCUAAGGAUGAAGGAAGAAGCAGGGGAGCCCCGGGGCGCCUCACCCCAGUCGAGGCGCUGCCGGAGCUCGUAUUCCCGGUCUAGGAAGGGCUCGCGGGCGAUACGGUGAAGUUUGGGAUUAGACCGGGAAGACGCAAGGCACCUAAAGGUACCUCGUGGCAAGCGGAGGUCUUUUUCUGUCAUCUCUUCACCAGUGAGAAGAGACUAGUCAGUAGCCCUGCCCUCACGGUAAGCACCUCAGAGAUAGCAGAAGAGAGCAAUAAAGUAUCCCCUUAGCGUCUUUUUCCCUGGAUCGUAAUGAGCUAAGCCCAGGCGUGCCGAGGAAGCCGGCAGAAGCGAGUAUGGAAGAGCUUCGCGUCCCGUCGUUUUCGGUCUUUGUUCCAGGCCAGGCGGGCGAGGACGGAAGGACAGCGCGAGUGAGAGCAGCCUUCAGGGAGGGCGAGAAGGACAGGCGGCGUGACAGCGGCCGGUUGAGCGCUGCAGCGGAGCAUUCGGCAGCGAGGACGAGCGAGCCCCGCGGCCCGGCUGUGGCAGCAUCCCCUCAGCAGAAGG